rnacentral:sRNA from 1 species
UUAAUCAUCAUUUUACUCGACCAACAGAAGCUACAGAGACUUACAGAGCGUUUAUCAAGUCUAUAGAAGAUUGCGGGAUUUCCUGGGGUUUUUACAGUAAACAAAGAGUACACAAUAAGGACAAGAAGACAUUGUGGGACCCACCGCUGACGCCCAUGUCCUCCAUGCAACAGACCAAAGGACAAGAAAUCUCUCCUCAUCUCUUCUCCUCAACUCGACGUCAACCCCAUCACUCGACCCCCAUCCCUCUUCACUCGACCUCAUCACCUCGUCAUCUCCUCCACUUCCAUUAAACUCCACCUCCAUCUCUCAUCCAAAAUCAACCAAACUCUCAUCUCUUUUCUCUCAAUCACUCGACCUCACCAUCUCUCUUCCUCACGCACUUGAAUCCUCAACGCCCACUCGAUCUCUUCACCGCCGAACGCUUAUCACCAUCAAGCUCAUCAUCUCUCCAUUCGCGACAUCACUACACCUCCGCCUCUCAACCUUACAGUCACUCGACCUCGCCGUUUCACUCGAUUCACUGCAUCUCUCUCAUCAUCGCUCACUCGCAUUCUCACCAAGUACUCGAUUUCAAAUCAUCAUCAACUUCACCGCUUUGCUCCAUUCACUCGACCACCGUUACUCACUCGACUUCACGGCAAGAGCACCUCCGCCUCUCCACCAGCACAAUCACUCGAAUCACCGCUCCUCCAAUUUCACUCGACCUCUCAUUGGCUCUCGCUCAUCACCGUUUGACCAAGGAAUCAUAACCUCUACACAUACUCGAUUACAAAGCAACUAGCGAUCAUCUCCGAAAGUCACUCGACCUCUUUUAAACCGCUUCACCAUCUCUCGCCUCUCAAGGUCACUCGAUCGCGAAGCGCACUCCAUUCACACAACCAAGGAGUCACUCGACCGCAAGUUCACCAAACCGAAGAAAAAAAAAAAAAAAUUGGUACACUCGACCGGUUUACUCUGUUGGUUUGGGUUUUGGUUUUGUUGGGACUAACGUAUUAACGUUUAUCUUUGAUUUUUGUCUGUUUUCAGGUUUCAUCAUGAGUAACUACAGUGGAGAAUCCUCUAUGGACCCUGAUUAUAAUGUGGAUGAAGCGGAGUCCUGAUCCACUAGACCGAGAGAGCAACAUACUUGUGAGAGCUUCAGGGAUGAAUUUAAACGCUCCACUGCUCGACGUAAUCAAAGAAGAGCUGAAAUCGCUAAAGGAAAGAGGGCGAUGUCGAGUAGAUAUGAGCUGAUUGAUGAGGACAUCGAAACUGAGUAUGAGCCAGAGUCAUGGCGCAAGGAGAAGAAGCUGCUGAACAAACCCAACGAGGUUACAGUGGAGGAGUAUAUCAGAUUCUUUGAGAUGAAUGACUUCUGGGGAACGAGGUAUCCCUGCUAUGAGACUUUAGCCCAAGUGGGGUUACUGGAGGACGUGCAGCAUCUGUUCGAGAAGUGUCAUCUGGAGACACUCUUGUCUUACCCUUACGCUGCCUAUAAGGAGGAGACAAUCGAGUUUCUUUCCACGCUGCAAGUGGAGAUGUAUAAGGGACUCACAGACUUUGAGCUGGAUACCAUGGGGUUAGGCUUCUUGACGUUCUCAGUGGAUGAACAGCAGUAUCAACUUUUGAUCAAGAAGUUGGAAGAACUGUUUGGUUUCCCUAGUGGAAAGGGAACCAAACCCAGGUUUGACAGGGAAGAGCUUAAGGAUUUGUGGGCCACUAUUGGGAACAAUCUACCGCUAAACUCGACGCGGUCCAAGAGCAACCAAAUCCAAAGUCCUGUGAUCCGCUACUUUCAGCGCUCGGUUGCCAACGUUUUUACUCCAGGGAGUCUACAGGCACCGUGUCUAACACGGACAUGGAGAUGAUAGAUUCCGCGCUUACAGGGAUUCUCCGCCGUACAAAGGGAAAGAAUGUCUUGAGAGGCGAUCUCAACAACACACCACCAGUAAUGCCUCUGUUGAUCCAUCUGUGUGGAUACAGGAAGUGGGCGUUGACGAAGGGUAAGAAGAAGGUGAGAGCAGCACUCUCCGUGGGUGGCGUUGUGUCACCAAUUCUGGAAGCUUGUGGAGUACCACUCAAGGAACCAGGGUUAGCACCGAGGAUGAUGGACUUGGAUCAUUUGCGCCGAUGUGAAUUCUUGGAGUAUGACAUGGCAGGCGACUUCCACCGCUACAGGUUCGAGCAUUCAUCGAUUAGAAUCGCCAACAUUCUUCUCCCCUGCAUUGACGCUACUAGAUUCUCGAGGGAAGGAACAUCGACUUCAAGCCUGCGCUUGAAGAUCUUUAUUUCGAGGGCAGUCCGCCAACUGAGGAGGUUAGUCACACUGAAGGAGCUACAACAGAAGAUGUUGAUGAGACAGAUGAUAUAGAUGAGGCGGAUUUUGACACGAGCAUGUAUCAUUUCAGCGAGCAUAUACCUCCAUCGAGGGAAAGCAAGAGUUUGAGCGAAGCUCCGUUCAUUCAGCGAGCAUGUAUCAUUCUCCGUUCAUUUCAGACCACUCGACCCCUUAGUCGAGUAGGGGACUUCACAACUUCAUCUCACCCCUCGACCCCCUGGUCGAGUAUAUUCACCUCCACCACCUGACCGUCACUCGAUCACAUCACUCGACCUCGAGGUCGAGUGUCUUCACCUCCACUACCUGAUCAUCACUCGAUCGCACCACUCCACCUUGAAGUCGAGUAUCACCAUCACAACCACUCGACUACAUACUCGAUGGCGAGCUUCAGAGUCUUCUCCAUUCCGCACUCAACCAGACACUCGAGCACAAGGAAGAAAAGAAGACUCCAGCUUAUCACUCGACCUCUCACUCGACCACCUGGGUCGAGUACAGUUCUUAAUCCGUCCUAAUACUGCGUCGUUUUAAGUAUUAGGGUUUUGGAAUAUUUUGCUAUAAGUACCAUGUACUUUACAUUUUCGAGAACAAGUUUUUAUCUAGUUUUAUUCCGCAAACACUGUGUUCUACACCUUUUGUAAUCCGGAUUUCUCUUUAUCUAUUCAAUAUUGAGCAUUCAGUAUUUGUUCUUGAUUUUGUUUACUGUUGUUCAUUAUGUUAUCGUUUUGCUAUUACAUUGUUGUUAUCAUGUUUUCAUCCUUUUCAACGUUUAUGUUCUCUGCAAUGAUGUCUGAGUAGUGAAUAGGUUUCUGAGGAUGGGUUAGAGUAGUGUAGAAUUCUCAAUAUGCUAGGUGGUUGAGUAUUGAUUGAUAGAUCCCUUCUGGAUUAGUUGUUCUUAAUGCAUAUUGCUUUUUGAUCAACUGGAAUUUGAGCCCAGACAUUUCCGCGCCCAAAAGGUGUUCGAUGACAUGUCUAAACCACUAAUUCCAGAAAUUCGUGGCCCAGUACCAAGGUAUUGGUUGUAGGGAGUGUUUUGGCUUUAACUUGUUGAUUCAUAAUGCUUGUUAGGUUAGCUCUCGUCAAUGGUGAUUGAGUCUGGGACUAGGUUAACUUGAGGGUCUCUGUUGCGGUGGCACUUAGAUUUGGUUAAUGAACUUGUUGUCUAGGGAUAAUUUAUUAAGCAUGUCAAUCACCUGUAACUGAGAAAACGAAACUACUCAAUUACCCCAUCCUCGGGAAUUCUUUAUCUGAUUGAAUUUAUUGUUUACUCUACUGCUGUUUACUGCAUCUUGUCAUCUGUUGCUUAGUUUCUGCAAUUCUUUACUGUUACUCGACCUGAUACUCGACCACCUAGUUGUCUGGCAACAGACUGUGCAGUCGAGUAUCCCUGUUUCAUUUUCUGUCUGUUACUCGACCUGUCACUCGACCACACCCAGUGCUCUGUAACGAGCUGUGUUGGUCGAGUGUUUUAUUGUUUCUACGUGAAUUUCUGUUUUCUACAUGUUCACUUGGAAUUGCUAGAACACAACAAAACCUGUUAUUGCUUGGCUUGACUUAGUGACUUCUGAUCACAUCUUGAUUGUUAGCAUCACACCCAUUUGGAUUGACAACCUUCAGUACUACAACGAUAUGAUAGUGCUUUAGGAUUAAUUGAUCUUAAAAACCUAUUAUCACGCUGAAAUCAGUUAUGUUCAGAACCAAGGCGGCUACAACAAAGGGUACAACAAUUACAGACCCAACCCAAAUAUGUCAUACAGAAGCACAAAUGUCGCAAAUCCUCAAGACCAAGUUUACCCUCAGCAGCAGCAGCAGCAGCAGAACCAACCCAAACCAUUUGUUCCUUACAACCAAAGCCAAGGGUUCGAUCCUAAGCAGCAGUUCCAAAGAGGGUAUCAAAAGCAACUGCCACCACCUGGUUUCACACCACAGCAACAUCAGGCCUCUACACCCCAGGAAUCAGACAUCAAAAAUAUGCUCCAACAGAUCAUGCAAGGCCAAGCCGCGGGGGUAAUGGAAGCCGCUAAGAAGCUGACUGACUUAAACAACAAAAUUGACAGACAGUUCGUUGAACUGAGUAGCAGGAUGGAAAAAUUGAGCACAAGGGUACGAUAUCUGGACGGCAUCACCACUUCACCACCUGUUACAAAUAACCCAGGCAAGCUUUCAGGAAAAGCAAUCCAGAACCCUAAGGAGUAUGCCACUGCCCACGCAAUCACUAUCAGACAUGAGCGAGAGCUGCCAACUCAACAUGUCUCUACAUCAAACUCUGAGGACAGUGUAAUUUAAGAAGGGGAGGCUUCCACUCAGAUUGAAGUCAUUGUUGCUGAGAUCGACUAUUCAGCUCAACCUUUCAAUCAGGCUCAGUCUGACUUUGAGGAGAAGGCUGCUAAAAUCGAGAGGAUGGUAAAACGAUUCAAGCCAGCUCUAUCACCUUCACUUGCUCUUCCAUGGAUGUUUAGGAAAGCUUGGAAAAACAGAUAUGAAUCUCUUGAAGAAAAACAACUUGAUGCGAUGGAAGCUAUGAUGCCCUUAGUAGAAGUCCUCAAGUUGAUUUCAGAACCUCACAAAGAUGUGAGAAACUUGAUAUUGGAAAGGCUCAACAUAUAUCACGAUUCAGAUGACGAAGACGAUGUCAAUAUGCAUCAAGCCGCUGGUGAGAGGAUUAUUCAAGAGAAGCUGGAAGAUCCUGGAUCUUUCACUCUGCCAUGUUCCAUUAGGCAAUUGACUUUCAGCAAUUGUCUAUGUGAUCUAGGAGACUCAGUCACUUUAAUGCCACUCUCUGUGGCAAGGACGUUGGGAUUCAUUCAGUACAAGCCCUGUGACAUCACCUUGAUCCUUGCUGAUAGAACUUCAAAGAGACCUUUCAGCAUUCUACAGAACGUGCCAGUAAUGAUAAAUGGAGUAGAGGUGCCUACUGAUUUUGUCGUGCUUUAGAUGGAUGAAGAAUCUAAGGAUCU